rnacentral:rRNA from 1 species
CGUAGGUGGCAAGCGUUGUCCGGAUUUAUUGGGUUUAAAGGGUGCGUAGGCGGUCCUAUAAGUCAGUGCUGAAAUAUCCCGGCUUAACCGGGAGGGUGGCAUUGAUACUGCAGGACUUGAGUAGAGUUGAGGUUGGCGGAAUUGACGGUGUAGCGGUGAAAUGCUUAGAUAUCGUCAAGAACACCGAUAGUGAAGACAGCUAACUAAGCUCUAACUGACGCUGAGGCACGAAAGUGUGGGAUCAAACAGGAUUAGAUACCCUGGUAGUCCACACUGUAAACGUUGAUUACUCGAUGUUGGCGAUACACAGCCAGCGUCUUAGCGCAAGCGAUAAGUAAUCCACCUGGGGAGUACGCCGGCAACGGUG